rnacentral:rRNA from 1 species
UACGUAGGGUGCGAGCGUUGUCCGGAAUUAUUGGGCGUAAAGAGCUCGUAGGCGGUGUGUCACGUCGGCCGUGAAAACCUGCAGCUUAACUGUGGGCGUGCGGUCGAUACGGGCAUCACUGGAGUUCGGCAGGGGAGACUGGAAUUCCUGGUGUAGCGGUGAAAUGCGCAGAUAUCAGGAGGAACACCGAUGGCGAAGGCAGGUCUCUGGGCAUUAACUGACGCUGAGGCACGAAGGUCAGGGGAGCAAACGGG